rnacentral:rRNA from 1 species
UGGGGAAUUUUGCACAAUGGGGGAAACCCUGAUGCUGCGACGCCGCGUGAUUUAGAAGGCCUUCGGGUUGUUAAAAUCUUUUCUAUGGGAAGAAAAUGACAGUACCAUAGGAAUAAGGACCUGCUAAUUACGUGCCAGCAGCCCCGGUAAUACGUAAGGUCCGAGGGUUGUCCGGAAACAUUGGGCGUAAAGGGUACGUAGGUGGGUAAGCAAGUUAGAAGUGAAAUCCUAUAGCUCAACUAUAGUAAGCUUUUAAAACUGCUCAUCUUGAGGUAAGGAAGGGAAAGUGGAAUUCCUAGUGUAGCGGUGAAAUGCGCAGAUAUUAGGAGGAAUACCGGUGGCGAAGGCGACUUUCUGGCCAUAACCUGACGCUGAGGUACGAAAGCGUGGGUAGCAAACAGG